rnacentral:rRNA from 1 species
GCCUAAAGCGUCCGUAGCCUGUUCUAUAAGUUUCCGGUUAAAUCCAUUAGCUCAACUAAUGGGCCGCCGAAAAUACUGUAGAACUAGGGAGUGGGAGAGGUAGACGGUAUUCGGUAGGAAGGGGUAAAAUCCUUUGAUCUAUUGAGGACCACCUGUGGCGAAGGCGGUCUACCAGAACACGUUCGACGGUGAGGGAUGAAAGCUGGGGGAGCAAACCGGAUUAGAUACCCGGGUAGUCCCAGCCGUAAACGAUGCAGACUCGGUGAUGCGCUGGCUUGUGGCCAGUGCAGUGCCGCAGGGAAGCCGUUAAGUUUGCCGCCUGGGAAGUACGUACGCAAGUAUGAAACUUAAAGGAAUUGGCGGGGGAGCACCACAAGGGGUGAAGCCUGCGGUUCAAUUGGAGUCAACGCCAGAAAUCUUACCCGAAGAGACAGCAGAAUGAAGGUCAAGCUGGAGACUUUACCAGACAAGCUGAGAAGUGGUGCAUGGCCGUCGCCAGCUCGUGCCGUGAGAUGUCCUGUUAAGUCAGGUAACGAGCGAGAUCCCUGCCUCUAGUUGCCACCAUUACUCUCAGGAGUAGUGGGGCGAAUUAGCGGGACUGCCGCAGUUAAUGCGGAGGAAGGAGGGGGCCACGGCAGGUCAGUAUGCCCCGAA